rnacentral:rRNA from 1 species
UGCGUAGGCGGCCCGUUAAGUCCGGGGUGAAAGCCUCUUGCUCAACAAGAGAACUGCCCUGGAUACUGGCGGGCUUGAGUCCAGACGAGGUUGGAGGAAUGGAUGGUGUAGCGGUGAAAUGCAUAGAUACCAUCCAGAACCCCGAUUGCGAAGGCAGCUGACUAGGCUGGUACUGACGCUGAGGCACGAAAGCGUGGGGAGCGAACA